rnacentral:lncRNA from 1 species
CAGGGAUGGAGGAAAGCAAGUCAACUGAAAGAGCAAGGCUGGAAGAACAGCUGUGUGAUUUCUGUUUGUUUACUUCUUAAAUGUGGACACUUCUCCUCAUUCCUCUUUUUUUUUUCCCAUUGGCCAUAUUUUCAAACAAGUUUUACUUUAGGAGGAAAAAUCUGACAGCUUUUCAGUGGUGCUGAUAUCUGGAAGAGCCUCUACAAAUCUCAAGACCUUUGAAAAGCCAGCUUAAUCUUCAACGAUACAACACACACAGGAGGAUUCCUCCAGAUACCUUGCAGGUCCUUCUACUUGUGGCACACUGGACGCUGCCUCAAUGUGGCCUGAUGAGUGGUGCCAUGUCCGCGCCCAGGAUCGGAACCAGCGAAACCCUGGGCUGCCGCAGCAGAGGACUUAACCACUUGGCCCUGGGGUCGGCCCGAGGAGUCUCUUGACUGAAAGACAGAACAUUAGCCACAGCAGCACAGCUAAGAACAUUAGCAUCCAGUUCCAAGGACCCCAGUCCUAAUGUGGACAUCUUUCGGGAG